rnacentral:lncRNA from 1 species
CUAAACCUUAAUCACUUUCCCCCAAUGGCUGCCCCCAUUUCCCAGUUCUCUCUUUUCUUUCAUCAUCAUCACCCCCAUCAGUCGUAAAACAAUGCACAAAUGUGUGCAAGGUCACAAAUCUGACCUCAAAUCAUCUUUUCUGUCCCUGCUUAACGGCUAAUCCCACCUGAACUUUCCCCCUUCGUUACCCUAAUUUGAAUCUCCAACCCAGAAGCCUUAAACCUAAAGGUGGAACCUAAGAUUUCAUAUGUCCUUCCUCUGUUCCGUCGAAUCGAAGCAUGCAUGGUCAUAAUUUAUAGCUUCAACAUCAUUAUUCGAUGUCCAGAGGUCAAACGCAGUGAUCUCUGGAUAUUAGGGUUUGACUGUUAGUCCAAAGGUUUCAACGGUUGAACUCCUCGUGCUCAGGUAAAUUCUCCAUUGUUUUCCCCCUUUGUAGUUCUCUAAUUUAACUUGCUUACUAUCGUCAUCCACCCAGUCGUCACUCUCCACUAUCUGUUCGAACUUAAUCAAAACCCUAAGUGGCUUGAAUUCCACUAUAAAUAGGAAAUUCAAUGUGUCUACCUAACAAACACAAAUACAAUUAACAUCACCGGCAAAUAUAUUGAAAGAAUUAAAAAGUUCAAGUUUUUCUACUAAGUAUUAUGUUCCAGUUGUUUCUCCCUAAUUUCUCUUUUCCUCUUUUCAUUUCUACUCGAGUUCAAUCUCUGUGAGUGGAUCGUUUUUGGUUUGGACUCCUAAACGGCUAACAAUUGACUCUUAUUUGGUUUCCAGCUCUGCAGAAGGUCAGUGUAUACUGUGACCCUGUCUCUAUCUUUUAGUUAAGCAAUUUUGUGAUGUUUUUCUUGUCAAUCACCUUUCAUGUAUGAUAUAUAUCAGUUGUACAUGACUAUAUUUGUUAUAUUCUGUUUGUUGUAUGCCAUUUUCACUGUAGAAUUGAUAGUUCCUAAUAAAUUGUGUUGUUAUCUGAUCUAUGUUUCAUUUCCCAUAACUUAGCUAGAUAAAAUAUAUUCAUGAUGUUGAUACUCUUCUGAACAAAUCAUGUUGAACCUUUUAUGAUUAGUUGAACUAAGCCUUAAGUUAAUUCUAUGUAUGCUCUAUCUAUGUCGGUUAACUGAUAGCUAUACUACUAUAUUUAGUUAACUUAAUCGAGCUAUACUCUUAAACUUCUCCUAAUGUCCUAUUAAGAUUUCACAUCUGAUGCACUGUGCUAUACUGAUCCUCACACUUGUGAUGUUAUACCACAUUGUUUUGGGUCAAUAAAAAUGAUUCUCAUUACAUAUCGUGUCUUACAUUUGACCUAUUUGCUUUGAUGAUCUUAACUGAAUAGUUUGUUGUUGAAACCAUGCUUGUUAUACAUAUAAAGAUUCGUGCAAGUCUAUCAUUGUAGUUUCAACUCAUAGGAAGGACCAAUCAGCAUAGCCAUCACACACCCUGCUCACUUGUUGUGUCCAUAUCUAUCAUGUCUCUUUUGUUUUAUGAUGAUGAACUCUGUAGUAGUGGCCAUCUAGAACCUUAUUGUAUGUUGGUUUAUUGACUCUUAAUGACCUCUAUGCCUGUUCUUAUAUUCAUCAUACUUCUGUUAGUCCGGUAAUGCCAUGAACCUUUACAUGCUCUUUAGUUGAGAAAGUUUCAUGUUUAAAUUACUAUGUUCUUUGCUGAAAAUUUCUCUUGAUAAAUUGAAUCUUGUCUGCCUUAAUAACUUAGAAACUUGAGUGAAUAAUGUUGAACAUAAGAUCUAGAAAUGGGAUGUUUACUAGUGUAAUCUGGUUAGUAAGAACACCCACAUUUAAGUAAACUCACUAAGACCUGUUUGCCAUGUUCUCACCCACUAAGAAUGAACAUCCCUACCUACUGUCUCAUAUUUGGUUGAUAUUCUUGUCUAUAAAAUAAUUAAUAAUAAAUAUGGAGUUGUGUGGAAACCUGACAGACUACAACUAGAUAUCAUGCUAUUAGGUUUGAACUAGACUAAAACUGACAUUUCUACAUAUAUUGAUAUCUCUACUGGUUGUUAUUAUCUUUGGGAAGCCUAAACAAGGCUGUUAGUAUAGGUAUUUAGUGAAGUAAGGUCUCAGCCAUGUAUAUGCUUGCUGAUUGUUCUAAAGAUUACUAAAAUGACCUUGGAAGUACUAUGAAUCUAGUCAAGAAUCCUAAAUGUUAAACCCUCAGUAGAAUUAGUGAAACUACUGCAUGUUUCUCUUUGGCACCUACUAAUACUUAGAUCAUUUAAUCAGGCACCUCUGAAAAUGAAUUGGUUAAAGACAACACUUGUAUACUGAUAAUAUGCCACUAGCCCUCUUAGUUUAUAACUGUAUCUUAGUAGUGAUGCUUCAGGUUUUCUAAUGCAUGCUAGGAUCAACCUUAAGGUCUUUGAUGUUAUUGGAACUCUAUUAAUCUACCUACAGUGAUUCAUCUUUGUGCUUAGUGUUCUUAUAAGGGGGUCCUAGGUCAAUAUUGUGAUUGGUUCUGAAAUGAUCAUGUCAUGUACUCUAACAAUAGUGAAAUGUCCUCUGUAUCUGUUUGAUUCAAGUUGCUAAAUUGCUAUAUGCUUGAGCCUCUUAAAAGUUUAUCAAGAGCCUCAUGUAUUUAUUUGUCUGCAUAUUGAUUACUAAGUUAACACUUUAUUUGUGUAUGAACCUUUGUGGAAGAGUGAGAGAAUGAGUUAGGGUAUUUGGGUUUAAAACUUGGUUUGUGGUUGAGGUACCCCUGUCUGACACAAGCACUACUCAGGGUCCAUGAGACCCUUGUGAACUUUGAAGUGCCCGGGGUCCAAAGAGAGAUUUUAUCCAUGAAUAAAGUUUUACUCUAAGCCUUUGGUCAUUGACUCUUAUUAAUCCUUAUAGGAUUACCACAAAUGAGAUUAGAUUCACCGUAUUCUCUAGAAUUAUUAUUACUUUGUUGAUAUUUUAUUUUGCUGUACCAUAUAUUGAUUUUAACUAAUUAUCUUCUUUAUUUUUUCGUGUGCAUGUUUGAAUUAGGCUUGCGGAGUUUAUCGUAAACUCAGGCUCAAGCUUCAGCUUGGUUGCUUUUACGCUCGCUGGAGUUCGUUGCUUGUGUGAAAUCUUUUGGGCCGAACUACACACUGGCCCGAUAUCAAGAGUUCAUACACUUUCCGCCCUCUCAUUUUUUCUUCAGACGUUAAAUCUUGUUAGUUAUUCUGUGUAUGUGUAAUGUUACUAUUGGAUAUUGUUUAAUGUUUUGUUUGCUUAGGAGACAUAGGCAAACCAAUACUUGUAGGUAAAAAGGUCAAGUUAGAUUAUAUGAUUGCUUGCUUUUCGUUACUCUAAUACAUUUGAGCCUUAAUAGUUUAAAAUAGUCUUUCAAUAAAUAAAUAGCUUACCUAUGUUUUCCACUUAUAA